ACCAACAGUCCUGGCUACUCAAAAGGGCACCAAGAUAAAAUGUAACCCGAGUCUAAUUUUUUUUCUCCCUAAAAUAGUUUUGCAACUUGAGCUGCAUUCCACUGGGAAAGGGGCUGUGAAUUCCAUUAAAGUGCACAUUCUCCGGCUGAAGUUUUUGGCCUCUUAGGCUCAAGGUCUACCAGCUCCUGGACAAACCAAUCACUCUUCCACACAAGAGAGUAUAUCUGAGCAACUCGUGAUGAUAUAAAAAGACCAGAGCUCAUCAUGCCUUUGGGAGGUGAUGAGCUGACAGGCUGACAGAAACCAUUAGCUUCACAUUUCAAUGCAAGGUUUCCUGUAAAGCCACUGGGUAAGAGGCCUGUCCCUCCAUAGGCAGUAAGCACACAGGAAAGGUAGAAAAAGACAAGGCUAAAUAGUUUUUAGAGUUCUAAAACUUAAAGUAAAUACCACAGGCUACAGGGCCAUGUGAACUUUUGUGGCUCUAAAUUGUUACUACAGGAAUAGUUUCUGAGUUUGAAAACUUAUAAGAAGAUUCCAAGAUAUUUGUUUAGUUUUAAAAUCAAUUUAUUAGUACACAUCUGGAAAUACACCAUGCUUCGAGCCUUUGUUCAGCCCACCACGCCUGCAUACCAGCCGCUGUCCAGUCACCUGUCUGCCGACACAGAGGUAAAGUGCAAGGGCACCUUGGUGCAUGAAGCUCAGCUCAGCUGUUUCUACAUCUCUCCUGGAGGUUCCAACUAUGGGAGUCCACGCCCAGCUCAUGCCAACAUGAAUGCCAAUGCAGCUGCGGGGCUGGCCCCUGAGCACAUCCCCACCCCGGGGGCAGCCCUAUCCUGGCAAGCAGCCAUCGAUGCGGCCCGGCAGGCCAAGCUGAUGGGCAGUGCUGGGAAUGCGACCAUCUCCACUGUCAGCUCUACACAGCGGAAGCGGCAGCAGUAUGGGAAACCCAAGAAGCAGGGUGGCACGACCGCCACGCGGCCGCCCCGGGCCCUGCUCUGCCUGACUCUGAAGAACCCUAUCCGGAGAGCGUGCAUAAGCAUUGUCGAAUGGAAAUAUCCUUUGUGCUCUAGCCUGGACAGGGUGCUUCAGGGACCUGAACCUGAGGACUGAUCCUCUGAGGCUUCAUAGCCAGUGGAGUGUGUUGGUGUUCUGAGCCUACAAACUGGUUCUAAGAGCAUGGAUCUGCAUCCAUGAGGCCUGUAAAAAUGCAGAGUUCUGGGUCCUACCCUAGACCCAAUCUCUUGAAUCUCUGGGGACAGGACCCAGGAAUCUGCUUGUAUAACAAACUUCCCAGUUUUUCUUCCCCACUCCUUAUACACAGGUUGGGUAUCCCCAAUCCAAAACUUCUGAGGUCUGAAUUGCUCCAAAAUCUGAAACCUUUGAGAGCUGAUAUGAUGCCACAAGUGGAAAAUUCCACACCUCUCCUUUUGUGACAGGUUGUAGUCAAAACACAGUCACACAAAAUAUAUUGUAUAAAAUUACCUUCAGCUUGUGUUUAUAAGGUAGAUGUGAAACAAAUAAAUUUCGUGUUUAGAUUUGA
rnacentral:lncRNA from 1 species